rnacentral:rRNA from 1 species
AGCGGCGGACGGGUGAGUAACACGUGGGUAACCUGCCUGUAAGACUGGGAUAACUCCGGGAAACCGGGGCUAAUACCGGAUGCUUGUUUGAACCGCAUGGUUCAAACAUAAAAGGUGGCUUCGGCUACCACUUACAGAUGGACCCGCGGCGCAUUAGCUAGUUGGUGAGGUAAUGGCUCACCAAGGCAACGAUGCGUAGCCGACCUGAGAGGUGAUCGGCCACACUGGGACUGAGACACGGCCCAGACUCCUACGGGAGGCAGCAGUAGGGAAUCUUCCGCAAUGGACGAAAGUCUGACGGAGCAACGCCGCGUGAGUGAUGAAGGUUUCGGAUCGUAAAGCUCUGUUGUUAGGGAAGAACAAGUACCGUUCGAAUAGGGCGGUACCUUGACGGUACCUAACCAGAAAGCCACGGCUAACUACGUGCCAGCAGCCGCGGUAUACGUAGGUGGCAAGCGUUGUCCGGAAUUAUUGCGCGUAAAGGGCUCGCAGGCGGUUUCUUAAGUCUGAUGUGAAAGCCCCGGCUCAACCGGGGAGGGUCAUUGGAAACUGGGGAACUUGAGUGCAGAAGAGGAGAGUGGAAUUCCACGUGUAGCGGUGAAAUGCGUAGAGAUGUGGAGGAACACCAGUGGCGAAGCGACUCUCUGGUCUGUAACUGACGCUGAGGAGCGAAAGCGUGGGGAGCGAACAGGAUUAGAUACCCUGGUAGUCCACGCCGUAACGAUGAGUGCUAGUGUUAGGGGGUUUCCGCCCCUUAGUGCUGCAGCUACGCAUAGCACUCGCUGGGGAGUACGGUCGCAGACUGAACUCAAGGAUGACGGGGCCGCACAGCGUG